UAGGGUGCAAGCGUUGUCCGGAAUUACUGGGUGUAAAGGGAGCGCAGGCGGAUUGGCAAGUUGGGAGUGAAAUCUAUGGGCUCAACCCAUAAAUUGCUUUCAAAACUGUCAGUCUUGAGUGGUGUAGAGGUAGGCGGAAUUCCCGGUGUAGCGGUGGAAUGCGUAGAUAUCGGGAGGAACACCAGUGGCGAAGGCGGCCUACUGGGCACUAACUGACGCUGAGGCUCGAAAGCAUGGGUAGCAA
rnacentral:rRNA from 1 species